AGGGAAGCAAUCCUGAAUCAUGACUCAGCAACCACUUCGAAGGGUGACCAGCCUGCGUUUCAACCAAGACCAAAGCUGCUUUUGCUGUGCCAUGGAGACAGGUGUACACAUCUACAACGUGGAACCAUUGAUGGAGAAGGGGCACCUGGACCAUAAGCAGGUGGGCAGCGUGGGCCUGGUGGAAAUGCUGUACCGCUCCAACCUGCUGGCCCUGGUGGGUGGUGGUAGCAGUCCCAAGUUCUCAGAGAUCUCAGUGCUGAUCUGGGAUGAUGCCCGGGACGGCAAGGACUCCAAGGACAAGCUGGUGCUGGAGUUCACCUUCACCAAGGCAGUGUUGGCUGUGCGCAUGCGCCAUGACAAAAUUGUGAUUGUGCUGAGGAACCGCAUCUAUGUGUACUCCUUCCCUAACAAUCCCCGGAAGCUGUUUGAGUGCGACACCCGGGACAACCCAAAGGGGCUCUGUGACCUCUGCCCCAGCCUGGAGAAACAGCUGCUAGUGUUCCCAGGACACAAGUGCGGGAGUCUGCAACUUGUGGACCUGGCACGCACAAAGCCAGGCACUUCAUCUGCGCCAUUUACCAUCAACGCACAUCAGAGCGACGUGGCCUGUGUGUCCCUGAACCAGCCAGGCACCGUAGUGGCCUCGGCCUCCCAGAAGGGCACCCUUAUUCGCCUUUUUGACACACAGUCCAAGGAAAAACUGGUGGAACUACGCCGAGGCAUUGAUCCUGCCACCCUCUACUGCAUCAACUUCAGCCAUGACUCUUCCUUCCUGUGCGUUUCCAGUGAUAAGGGCACGGUCCAUAUCUUUGCCCUCAAGGAUACCUGCCUCAACCGCCGCUCUGUGCUAGCUGCAGUGGGCAAAGUCGGGGCUAUGUUUGGACAAUACGUGGACUCUCAGUGGAGCCUGGCGAGUUUCACAGUGCCUGCUGAGACGGCCUGCAUCUGCGCCUUCGGUCGCAACACUUCCAAGAAUGUCAACUCUGUCAUCGCCAUCUGUGUAGAUGGGACCUUCCACAAAUAUGUCUUCACUCCUGAUGGAAACUGCAACAGAGAGGCUUUCGAUGUGUACCUUGACAUCUGUGAUGAUGAUGACUUUUAAGGGCCCCGUGGGUUGUGCUAGGGACCUGCAGUGGCAAAGUGCAAAGUAUUUAUGGGAGUGGGAGUGCUGAAAGCCACCAGCCAGCAAGC